rnacentral:RNase_P_RNA from 1 species
UUUGUGUACAGGGUAGUCGCGCCUACGAUACGAGAGUGUCAUAGGGGAGGAAAGUCUGGACUCCGAACAAGAAGGAUGCCACACAAGGCGCAGCCGCGCACAAGUGUGGGGAGCCGAGAGGUUUACGGAAAGUGCCACAGAAACUAAACCGCCAAGAUUUUAUUAUGUUGGUAAGGGUGAAAACGUGCGGUAAGAGCGCACGCGUUGUGUCAGUAAUGCGCAGCGGGGCAAACCCCAUCCGGAGCAAGGCAAAAUAGGUUCUGAGAGUUCUUGUUCUCUUUGACGAACGGGUAUGUCGCAUAGAUAAAU